CGGUAGGUAACCGUAGCCUCGGUAGCGGGGGGAGGUAACUAUUGGAAACGGAAGCUAAUACCGCAUAAGAGUAGAUGUUGCAUGACAUUUGCUUAAAAGGUAGCAAUUGCAUCACUACCAGAUGGACCUGCGUUGUAUUAGCUAGUUGGUGGGGUAACGGCUCACCAAGGCGACGAUACAUAGCCGACCUGAGAGGGUGAUCGGCCACACUGGGACUGAGACACGGCCCAG
rnacentral:rRNA from 1 species